CCAAGAGACCCUCUAUAACACGAAGGACCUGUGAGCUUAUGGGGGUGAGGUGGCAAAGAGAAGAAAUGCUGGGCAAACUUCAAGACUAACAAAUCACUGGGUGAUAAGCCGAUGGCUAUACAGAAUGAGAGAUGUAGGAGGCAGGCUGAGUCUGGAGAUGGGAGCUUGUCUGUACUGAAAAGGGUCCCAACAUACAGGUUCCCUGCCAGAUAGCAAGACUUUUCUAACAGCAAAGAAAAACAAAGGACUAAAGCUGUCUUGAGGCAAGGAAGAAGGAAGAAUAAGGUAUAUGUUCUACCAAGUGAGAAAAGACACAAGGGGAAAAUUCUGAGAGGCAGCAGGGGAAAAUUCUGAGAGGCAGCAGGUGUGAUCCAGAUGUUUUUCAGCAAGCAAAUGAAAGAAUUUGAAAAGAGCCCUGGUAUUCCUUGAACAUGCAUACCUUUCCCAGCGUGAGGGACAUGGACCGUGCCGUGCGAGGGACCCCAUCUUCUGCAGCAGGAGGGAGCAGAGAAGAGAACACAGGUGGAACAGAGUUGGCAAGACUGGGGGC